rnacentral:rRNA from 1 species
GAUGAACGCUGGCGGCGUGCCUAAUACAUGCAAGUCGAGCGAACGGACGAGAAGCUUGCUUCUCUGAUGUUAGCGGCGGACGGGUGAGUAACACGUGGAUAACCUACCUAUAAGACUGGGAUAACUUCGGGAAACCGGAGCUAAUACCGGAUAAUAUUUUGAACCGCAUGGUUCAAAAGUGAAAGACGGUCUUGCUGUCACUUAUAGAUGGAUCCGCGCUGCAUUAGCUAGUUGGUAAGGUAACGGCUUACCAAGGCAACGAUGCAUAGCCGACCUGAGAGGGUGAUCGGCCACACUGGAACUGAGACACGGUCCAGACUCCUACGGGAGGCAGCAGUAGGGAAUCUUCCGCAAUGGGCGAAAGCCUGACGGAGCAACGCCGCGUGAGUGAUGAAGGUCUUCGGAUCGUAAAACUCUGUUAUUAGGGAAGAACAUAUGUGUAAGUAACUGUGCACAUCUUGACGGUACCUAAUCAGAAAGCCACGGCUAACUACGUGCCAGCAGCCGCGGUAAUACGUAGGUGGCAAGCGUUAUCCGGAAUUAUUGGGCGUAAAGCGCGCGUAGGCGGUUUUUUAAGUCUGAUGUGAAAGCCCACGGCUCAACCGUGGAGGGUCAUUGGAAACUGGAAAACUUGAGUGCAGAAGAGGAAAGUGGAAUUCCAUGUGUAGCGGUGAAAUGCGCAGAGAUAUGGAGGAACACCAGUGGCGAAGGCGACUUUCUGGUCUGUAACUGACGCUGAUGUGCGAAAGCGUGGGGAUCAAACAGGAUUAGAUACCCUGGUAGUCCACGCCGUAAACGAUGAGUGCUAAGUGUUAGGGGGUUUCCGCCCCUUAGUGCUGCAGCUAACGCAUUAAGCACUCCGCCUGGGGAGUACGACCGCAAGGUUGAAACUCAAAGGAAUUGACGGGGACCCGCACAAGCGGUGGAGCAUGUGGUUUAAUUCGAAGCAACGCGAAGAACCUUACCAAAUCUUGACAUCUUUUGACAACUCUAGAGAUAGAGCCUUCCCCUUCGGGGGACAAAGUGACAGGUGGUGCAUGGUUGUCGUCAGCUCGUGUCGUGAGAUGUUGGGUUAAGUCCCGCAACGAGCGCAACCCUUAAGCUUAGUUGCCAUCAUUAAGUUGGGCACUCUAAGUUGACUGCCGGUGACAAACCGGAGGAAGGUGGGGAUGACGUCAAAUCAUCAUGCCCCUUAUGAUUUGGGCUACACACGUGCUACAAUGGACAAUACAAAGGGCAGCGAAACCGCGAGGUCAAGCAAAUCCCAUAAAGUUGUUCUCAGUUCGGAUUGUAGUCUGCAACUCGACUACAUGAGGCUGGAAUCGCUAGUAAUCGUAGAUCAGCAUGCUACGGUGAAUACGUUCCCGGGUCU